rnacentral:misc_RNA from 1 species
GAUGAAGAACGUAGCGAAAUGCGAUAAGUAAUGUGAAUUGCAGAAUUCAGUGAAUCAUCGAAUCUUUGAACGCACCUUGCACCCUUUGGCUAUUCCGAAGGGUAUGCCUGUUUGAGUAUCAUGAACACCUCAACUCUCAUGGUUUGCCAUGAUGAGAUUGGACUUUGGGGGUCUUGCUGGCCUGUGGUCAGCUCCUCUCAAAUGGAUUAGCUUGCCAGUGUUUGGUGGCAUCACAGGUGUGAUAACUAUCUACGCUUGUGGUUUUCCACCAGGUAACCUUCAGCAAUGGGGGUUCGCUGGGGCUCAUAAAUGUCUCUCCUCAGCGAGGACAGCUCUUUGAACGUUUGAUCUCAAAUCAGGUAGGACUACCCGCUGAACUUAAGCAUAUCAAUAAGCGGAGGA